UACGAAGGUGGCUAGCGUUGUUCGGAAUCACUGGGCGUAAAGCGUACGUAGGCGGACCGUUAAGUCGGGGGUGAAAUCCUGGGGCUCAACCUCAGAACUGCCUUCGAUACUGGCGGUCUCGAGUCCGGGAGAGGUGAGUGGAACUCCUAGUGUAGAGGUGAAAUUCGUAGAUAUUAGGAAGAACACAAGUGGCGAAGGCGGCUCACUGGCCCGGUACUGACGCUGAGGUACGAAAGCGUGGGGAGCAAACAGG
rnacentral:rRNA from 1 species